rnacentral:lncRNA from 1 species
GGAAUCUUGACUGCACGUAUCUACUUGGCAGUCACGGCUUCCUAUCAUUUCAUUUCAGAAAUAGCCUCUGUUGCCGUAACUUUCGACCCUAACUCUUCCAACCACGAAGUUGAUGACUUCUCACUAAGAAUAACUUUGUUUUCUGGUUUCUUCAUGCAGGCUUGGUCCCACUGUCCGUGAGUAUAAUCCCUGCUUGGCCACUACGCUUACCUCUAUUUCUUCCCCUCUCCGUCUCCAUCUAGCGAACACCAGCCCUUUCUGGGCUCACAGGGAAGCUUCCAGUCCAGGGACGGUCUGGAAAACACCUUUAGGGGCUUGAGCGUUCCCCUUUGUUUUCGUUUAGGGCCCUUCCAGUAUUGCAUUCAAGGUGAUCAUGUGAACGAAAGACCAAACCACUCCGACUGAAGGAAGUGAACCUGUGCUGGCCUCUUGGCCGUCGUUGGGACGUCAGGGGCUGGGUCGAGACUUUUCUGGAUGAUAAGGCUUCCGUCCCCCCAGGAAGGGCCAAGUCAGCAACCAAGAGCGAGCCUUGCGGUGGCCGUUUCAGGGGCAUCGGGGGCAUGCCCUCCCCGCCACCGAUCGCUGAGGACGCCCCUCCGCUGCUUCGCUCUGUGUCCUUAAAACGUCGGCUACUGGGUGAAAUUGCUUUUCUUAUGAAAUUUUCUACAAUAUCUCCACCC